rnacentral:rRNA from 1 species
UGGGGAAUUUUGGACAAUGGGCGAAAGCCUGAUCCAGCAAUGCCGCGUGUGUGAAGAAGGCCUUCGGGUUGUAAAGCACUUUUGUCCGGAAAGAAAUCCUUGGCUCUAAUACAGUCGGGGGAUGACGGUACCGGAAGAAUAAGCACCGGCUAACUACGUGCCAGCAGCCGCGGUAAUACGUAGGGUGCAAGCGUUAAUCGGAAUUACUGGGCGUAAAGCGUGCGCAGGCGGUUUGCUAAGACCGAUGUGAAAUCCCCGGGCUCAACCUGGGAACUGCAUUGGUGACUGGCAGGCUAGAGUAUGGCAGAGGGGGGUAGAAUUCCACGUGUGAGCAGUGAAAUGCGUAGAGAUGUGGAGGAAUACCGAUGGCGAAGGCAGCCCCCUGGGCCAAUACUGACGCCUA